GGUGGGUUGACUCAGUGGUUAGAGGUCUCGUAAAACCGAAAGGUCGCGGGAUCGAAUCCCACUACAGGCUG
rnacentral:tRNA from 1 species